CGUCACUGCCGCCGAACUCCGGGAAUCCCGCCACCGCCGAACUCCGGGAAUCGCCGCCGCAAAGUCUCCAGGGCAGGGCGGUUUCAAACCCUGCUGACGAACUCAAAGAUACGCAUAAUCAUUGCCGCCGCCCCCCUCCUCUGACUGCCCCGCGGUCUUCUAUCUCUCCCAACUCCGCUGUCGCGCCCCGUCUUCCGUCUCUGCAUGAAUCGCGGCUGUGGCAGCCACUCCCCAUGGCGGCCAUCCUGGCACACUGUGUCCGGGAUGAUGGAGGUGAUGUCGGCCAGGUCCCUGUUUCCGUCGGCAUCUUCUGCGAUGGGACCCGUGGGGGCAGGUCGCGCGCUGCUCAUCUGCGUCGAUGGCGUCGGCGUGGUCCUUCCCCUGCCAAGCGUGGCUGCUCCUUGGCUGGAUCACAAUGAUGAUACAGUCGCCUCGGCGGGGGCUAGGGAUCUCGCUGGCUGGCGUUUAUUUGAUGUUUGGUUGUUCCAAUCGUGAUGGAACGGACGUAUAAUGUACUGUACAAGAAUUUGGACGAGGCUCAUUUGCGUGGAUGGUGUGGCUUGGCUGCCGGGCACACAAUCCAUUGAUUCACACAUAAGGUUUGCCUUUUUUCUUCUCUUUGCAUUCUUUUCUAUUAAGUUUGCAGAUUGUUUGUGUUGGCCAACGAAAAAAGAUUUAGGAUCCUAGAUUUAUACAGUUUAAGAACUUACAAAGUUUAGCAAGUAUAUCUGGUUCUGAACUUUGGAAGAGUGCUUAUAACAGUAAUUUCUUCAGUCUUUUGUAAUUCCGAUUUAAUAUCAAUUCUGUUGUAGUAGCAUCCUUGUAGUUCACCAUUGGAAUGUGCACAUGUAGUCUUUAUUAGUAAUACAGUUUCUUGAUUCUUGAAUUCUGAGCUGAAUGUGCACAUUUAGUCUUUAUUAGUAAUACAGUUUCUUGAUUCUUGAAUUCUGAGCUGAAUGUGCACAUUUAGCAACCACUGCGUACGUACGUGCUCUAAUGGAAAGAACGUAGCCGACACAGACCGUAGCCAUCUACACCAAGGCUCCUCCGCCCUACCGAGUCUUGCAAGCAAUCGUCGUAAGAAAUAUUCCAUUUGAUGCCGGCAUGCGUUGUUGUUCCACUGUCGCAACCAUCCAUCUACACACCAAAUGUCAAAACCGAGUCGCCGUGUUCACAAUGCUGGGCAUUAUUUAUAUCAAGGGACGAGGAGGAAGAUUUGGAUGACCGUAACCACAAUGGCAAGGGCAGCAACAUGGUCGUCACCUGCAAUGCCGAUGGAUGCUGAGAUUAUGUUGUUUGGUUUAUUUGUUGAAAGUUACAGCCCAUGUUUCAUGAUUUAUUUGCCGCCGGUUAAUCAUGAUAUUUUGAAGUGCUCUGACAAUUGCUUGCUGUCUGCAUCUCUUACUUUUCAACUUGCUGCAUAUACAGAUAUACAUCAUUAGAAUCUGUUUGUACUUAUUCAACAUGCUUCAGUUAUGCUUCUUUGAAAAUCCAGUUGUAGAUGCAGUGAAGCCCCAUUUAGAUCUUGGCUAUAGUAUUAUUCUUGUCUUAUGACUCAUGACGGAUUGAUAUGUGAUACCAUGACAUAGCAUUGUGGUACCGUGGUAGUCACAUUUGGUGGUAGUUCUGAUUAUUUGCUAGAUUACGAGAUAAGACCAAGUGCUUCUGCAACUCGGUUGCGGUUUUGAUAGGAACAUGAAGACUUUGCCAUGCCAUGGAGCAUGUUUGAUUUAAAGGACAUAGUUGCUCCAAUAUAUUGAGCAGGGAAGAAGUUUGUUACAAGUGUUUUAUAGAGUUGACGCAAGAGACAUCCGACGGGAUACAUUGGUGCAGGAAUCGACGAAGAAGCUUCCGUUCAGCAUGGUAUCUCAAUGGAAGAAUAUCCGAAGCAAACCUCCGCUACUUCUCUGUUCCCUUUCAUUUGUCGUGGGAAGACCUUAGGAAGGUAGGAAGACCUUAGGAAGAGUGGGUGGGAGGAAGGGAGGCAUGUGCUAUAGAUGUAGGCGAACAAUGGUCCUUGGAAAUUAUUAGUACUUUACAAAAUGUCUGUCCCCUGUGACGCCUACAAUGAGCGAGAGAGGGUGGAAGGAAGGGAGACCGGAGGAAGGAAGAUGGGGAUAUAUGUAGAGAGAGGGAGAUAGGAGGAAGGGAGAUGGGCAUAUAUGUAGAGAGAGGACGAUCAGAGAGGGAGGGAAGAUUUACAGGACGAUUGAAGUUGAGCCACUCAAAUAUGUAUGUCUCUGUGGCAUCGCCUGGGCAAUUAACUAUAGAAAAAUUCAAGGCUAUUUUUUAAAGUGACAUUUAUUCACGCCGAUAAUUUCCAGGUACAUCAUGUUGAACAAUUUUACUUAUGUUUUGAGUGGUCAAUAUUCUUUACCGCUGGCCACAUAUCUCACUUGUGUUGGUCCCCUAGAAUAUGCUAAUGUUUAGUUUCCAAUUUUUCAACUAUCAAAUAUCAGUGGACUUUACAUGGUUUCCUACAAAAUAAAAA